rnacentral:rRNA from 1 species
UACGAACUGUGCAAACGUUAUUCGGAAUCACUGGGCUUAAAGGGUGCGUAGGCGGUCAUUUAGGUAGGGUGUGAAAGCCCCCGGCUCAACCGGGGAAUUGCGCCCUAAACCGGGUGACUGGAGUGAGAUAGGGGUGUGUGGAACUUCCGGUGGAGCGGUGAAAUGUGUUGAUAUCGGAAGGAACGCCGGUGGCGAAAGCGACACACUGGGUCUCAACUGACGCUGAGGCACGAAAGCCAGGGGAGCAAACAGG